rnacentral:rRNA from 1 species
UCCAGCCACACUGGAACUGAGACACGGUCCAGACUCCUACGGGAGGCAGCAGUGGGGAAUAUUGCACAAUGGGCGCAAGCCUGAUGCAGCCAUGCCGCGUGUAUGAAGAAGGCCUUCGGGUUGUAAAGUACUUUCAGCGAGGAGGAAGGCAUUG